rnacentral:rRNA from 1 species
CCUAACACAUGCAAGUCGAACGGUAACAGGAAACAGCUUGCUGUUUCGCUGACGAGUGGCGGACGGGUGAGUAAUGUCUGGGAAACUGCCUGAUGGAGGGGGAUAACUACUGGAAACGGUAGCUAAUACCGCAUAACGUCGCAAGACCAAAGAGGGGGACCUUCGGGCCUCUUGCCAUCGGAUGUGCCCAGAUGGGAUUAGCUAGUAGGUGGGGUAACGGCUCACCUAGGCGACGAUCCCUAGCUGGUCUGAGAGGAUGACCAGCCACACUGGAACUGAGACACGGUCCAGACUCCUACGGGAGGCAGCAGUGGGGAAUAUUGCACAAUGGGCGCAAGCCUGAUGCAGCCAUGCCGCGUGUAUGAAGAAGGCCUUCGGGUUGUAAAGUACUUUCAGCGGGGAGGAAGGGAGUAAAGUUAAUACCUUUGCUCAUUGACGUUACCC